AGAGUUUGAUCAUGGCUCAGGACGAACGCUGGCGGCGUGCCUAAUACAUGCAAGUAGAACGCAGGAUAUUUAGUUUACUAAUUAUUCUGAGUUGCGAACGGGUGAGUAACGCGUAGGUAACCUACCUCAUAGCGGGGGACAACUAUUGGAAACGAUAGCUAAUACCGCAUACAAGUUAGUAUCACAUGAUACCAACUUAAAAGGAGCAAUUGCUUCACUAUCAGAUGGACCUGCGUUGUAUUAGCUAGUUUGUGAGGUAACGGCUCACCAAGGCAACGAUACAUAGCCGACCUGAGAGGGUGAUCGGCCACACUGGGACUGAGACACGGCCCAGACUCCUACGGGAGGCAGCAGUAGGGAAUCUUCGGCAAUGGACGAAAGUCUGACCGAGCAACGCCGCGUGAGUGAAGAAGGUUUUCGGAUCGUAAAGCUCUGUUGUAAGAGAAGAACAUUGAUGGGAGUGGAAAAUCCAUUAAUUGACGGUACCUUACCAGAAAGGGACGGCUAACUACGUGCCAGCAGCCGCGGUAAUACGUAGGUCCCGAGCGUUGUCCGGAUUUAUUGGGCGUAAAGCGAGCGCAGGCGGUUUUAUAAGUCUGAAGUUAAAGGCUGUGGCUCAACCAUAGUUUGCUUUGGAAACUGUAGAACUUGAGUGCAGAAGGGGAGAGUGGAAUUCCAUGUGUAGCGGUGAAAUGCGUAGAUAUAUGGAGGAACACCGGUGGCGAAAGCGGCUCUCUGGACUGUCACUGACACUGAGGCUCGAAAGCGUGGGUAGCAAACAGGAUUAGAUACCCUG
rnacentral:rRNA from 1 species